GAUGAAGAACGUAGCGAAAUGCGAUAAGUAAUGUGAAUUGCAGAAUUCCGUGAAUCAUCGAAUCUUUGAACGCACAUUGCGCCCCCUGGCAUUCCGGGGGGCAUGCCUGUCCGAGCGUCAUUUCUGCCCUCCAGCCCGGCUGGGUGUUGGGCGCUGUCCCCCCGGGGACACGCCCCAAAGGCAGUGGCGGCGCCGCGUCGGGUCCUCGAGCGUAUGGGGCUUUGUCACCCGCUCGGGACGGACUCGUCGGCGCUGGUCUUCCUCCAGGCGACCCUUCGGGGCUCGUCUUCCUUCGGUUGACCUCGGAUCAGGUAGUGUUACCCGCUGAACUUAAGCAUAUCAAUAAGCGGAGGA
rnacentral:misc_RNA from 1 species